rnacentral:tRNA from 1 species
GGGAUUGUAGCUCAUUGGUAGAGCACUUGCCUUGCACAUGUGAGGCCCUGGGUUCAAUCCUCAGCACCA